UACGGAGGGAGCUAGCGUUGUUCGGAAAUACUGGGCGUAAAGGGCGCGUAGGCGGCUUAUCAAGUCAGGCGUGAAAAUUCCCCGGGCUCAACCUGGGGGGCUGCGUCCGAUACUGGCAGGCUUGAAUUCGGGAGAGGGAUGUGGAAUUCCAGGUGUAGCGGUGAAAUGCGUAGAUAUCAGGAGGAACACCGGUGGCGAAGGCGGAUCUCUGGGCCUUACCUGACGCUCAGGCGCGAAAGCUAGGGGAGCGAACAGG
rnacentral:rRNA from 1 species